CCACCCAUCGCUGGAUGUUCCUCCACUUUACCCACCUAUCAAACAACUUUUACCAGUAAAUAUCGGUUUAUUCCUGAAAGCAGAAGCCCUAAACAUACCUUUGUUAAUAAGGUCAGUUGUCAUUUUGUCUCUCUCGUUCCCCACUCCCCCCCAGCACAACCCAGCAGGUCACUGAAAGGUACCGAGUUUUCUUUCUAGUUUUCCUGCUCUGCAUCUCUGGGAACUGGAGCCCGCAGGACCUAGAGCCUUCUGUUGGUAACGUAGACCCGGGUUUACAAACUGUUCUUUACCUGCUUUUAAGGACAGAGGUGUUCCCAGCUGCCCGGUACGGGAACUGCUAGAAACCCUUGCAAAUGCAUUAAUUGCCUCACCUCUCCGAAGCCUGCGGCCUGGGUGGUUCUGCUUGCUGGCAGUUCCGUAACACAACUUUAAUCUGAGCAAUUGAGGCUGGCCCUACAUUAUCUCCAGACGUCUUGCAGAGGACUCCUGUUACCAGUUUGGUACCCAAAAGCUACAUCCCACCAUCAGAAGUCACUUAUUGAUUGUUUUUUUCAAAGGCAGUGAUAGAUUACCCUCGCUGGCUCUAAUGGAAAAAUGAUAAUUGCAAUGCAACUUUCUAAUAAAUUGUUCAUAUAUUCAUAAUUCCAUUGCAAUCCCAAAUUGGAGAAGAGAUCUGUUAAAGUGCACUGGUGCACCAAGCCUCAGAACCACCGCUUUCUCCAGCGCAUAGGAUGCUUUUCCAAGACUGCGGAUACGUGUAUGUGUACUGCUGUAUUGAUAAGUAAAUGCCAACGAUGGAGUUAGUUGCUUUUAUACAUCCCAAAGAGAAGUUCUCCACCAGUCAUUUUCUGUUUUCUGACCGAAAAAGGUGUGUGUUUGUGAACGGUGUUCACGCGAGUUCUGCCGCCCCACUCUCACAUCAGCUUAUACCAAUGCCAGAAUGGGAGGAUUUGCCUGCGUACCUUCCCCAAAACGCCCCGGUCCGCAGUGGCAUCGUCAGGGAGCAGUUCAAACGUGUGUCCUUUGGACUUGGUGUAAAGCAAACGCAGAACGAGAAAAACUGAGAUGUUAAAUCCAUUAGAAAACAAAUUCCUUAUUGUACAGUAGUAUGGAGACCUCUAGUCAACCUGCCAUUAAUAGUAGAUUCUUAUUUUUUGAAUGAUCUAUUUAAAAGAACA
rnacentral:lncRNA from 1 species